rnacentral:rRNA from 1 species
AUUGAACGCUGGCGGCAUGCCUUACACAUGCAAGUCGAACGGCAGCACGGGAGCAAUCCUGGUGGCGAGUGGCGAACGGGUGAGUAAUAUAUCGGAACGUGCCUAGUCGUGGGGGAUAACGCAGCGAAAGCUGUGCUACUACCGCAUACGAUCUACGGCUGAAAGCGGGGGAUCGCAAGACCUCGCGCGAUGGGAGCGGCCGAUAUCAGAUUAGCUAGUUGGUGAGGUAAAGGCUCACCAAGGCGACGAUCUGUAGCUGGUCUGAGAGGACGACCAGCCACACUGGAACUGAGACACGGUCCAGACUCCUACGGGAGGCAGCAGUGGGAAUUUUGGACAAUGGGCGCAAGCCUGAUCCAGCAAUGCCGCGUGCAGGAUGAAGGCCUUCGGGUUGUAAACUGCUUUUGUACGGAACGAAACGGCGAGCUUUAAUACAGUUUGCUAAUGACGGUACCGUAAGAAUAAGCACCGGCUAACUACGUGCCAGCAGCCGCGGUAA